rnacentral:lncRNA from 1 species
CCGGAUUUGAGUACUUCUGAUCAAGUGACAAAGUGAUAAGUGGUAGCUUUAGCUACACUUAUCUGAUCAAGUGACAAGUGGAAAGUGAUAAGUAAUAGCUUCGGCUAUACUUAUCUGAUCAAGUGACAAAGUGAUAAGUGAUAGCUUCGGCUAUACUUAUCUUAUCAAGAAACAAAGUGAUAAGUGGCUACACUUAUCUGAUCAAGAGACAAAGUGAUAAGUGGCUACACUUAUCUGAUCAAGAAACAAAGUGAUAGGUGGCUACACUUAUCUGAUCAGGGACAAGUGAUAAGUGAUCAUGCGUAAGACCAUAGUUAUACUAUGGCAAAGUGAAAGUGAAGUACUCAAUUUUCCGUGACCGUUCCCUAAUUUGAUUAAGGAUGGUAAGUGAC